rnacentral:lncRNA from 1 species
UUUAAAUCCCCUUCCAUGCAGACAAAAUACACAAUCUAUUCAAUAUCUCCUUAUUGCAGCAAUAGAAUAUUCAUUAUGAUAUUUUCUUUCUUGCAACAAGCAACCUCGUUCAAAUCUUUCUCCCAUGCAACAAGAAACUCUGUUCAAAUCUUUCCCCCUACAACAAGCAACUUUGUUCAAAUCUUUUCUUCCUUGUAGCAAAUAACAUUUGCCUAGAGGAACCACCUUAAGUAACCUUUACUGAUUUCACUUUAUCAAAAAAAAAAA